GUGGGGAAUAUUGGACAAUGGGCGAAAGCCUGAUCCAGCAAUGCCGCGUGAGUGAUGAAGGCCUUAGGGUUGUAAAGCUCUUUUACCCGGGAAGAUAAUGACUGUACCGGGAGAAUAAGCCCCGGCUAACUCCGUGCCAGCAGCCGCGGUAAUACGGAGGGGGCUAGCGUUGUUCGGAAUUACUGGGCGUAAAGCGCACGUAGGCGGUUUUGUAAGUUAGAGGUGAAAGCCUGGGGCUCAACCCCAGAAUUGCCUUUAAGACUGCAUCACUUGAACGUCGGAGAGGUGAGUGGAAUUCCGAGUGUAGAGGUGAAAUUCGUAGAUAUUCGGAAGAACACCAGUGGCGAAGGCGGCUCACUGGACGACUGUUGACGCUGAGGUGCGAAAGCGUGGGGAGCGAACAGGAUUAGAUACCCCAGUAGUCC
rnacentral:rRNA from 1 species